rnacentral:rRNA from 1 species
AGAGUUUGAUCCUGGCUCAGGACGAACGCUGGCGGCACGCUUAACACAUGCAAGUCGAACGAGAGAAGAGGAGCUUGCUUUUCUGAUCUAGUGGCGGACGGGUGAGUAACACGUGAGCAAUCUGCCUUUCAGAGGGGGAUACCGAUUGGAAACGAUCGUUAAUACCGCAUAACAUAAUUGAACCGCAUGAUUUGAUUAUCAAAGAUUUAUCGCUGAAAGAUGAGCUCGCGUCUGAUUAGCUAGUUGGUAAGGUAACGGCUUACCAAGGCGACGAUCAGUAGCCGGACUGAGAGGUUGAUCGGCCACAUUGGGACUGAGACACGGCCCAGACUCCUACGGGAGGCAGCAGUGGGGAAUAUUGCACAAUGGAGGAAACUCUGAUGCAGCGAUGCCGCGUGAGGGAAGAAGGUUUUAGGAUUGUAAACCUCUGUCUUCAGGGACGAAAAAAGACGGUACCUGAGGAGGAAGCUCCGGCUAACUACGUGCCAGCAGCCGCGGUAAUACGUAGGGAGCGAGCGUUGUCCGGAAUUACUGGGUGUAAAGGGAGCGUAGGCGGGAUCGCAAGUCAGAUGUGAAAACUAUGGGCUUAACCCAUAAACUGCAUUUGAAACUGUGGUUCUUGAGUGAAGUAGAGGUAAGCGGAAUUCCUAGUGUAGCGGUGAAAUGCGUAGAUAUUAGGAGGAACAUCAGUGGCGAAGGCGGCUUACUGGGCUUUAACUGACGCUGAGGCUCGAAAGCGUGGGGAGCAAACAGGAUUAGAUACCCUGGUAGUCCACGCCGUAAACGAUGAUUACUAGGUGUGGGGGGACUGACCCCUUCCGUGCCGCAGCAAACGCAAUAAGUAAUCCACCUGGGGAGUACGACCGCAAGGUUGAAACUCAAAGGAAUUGACGGGGCCCGCACAAGCAGUGGAGUAUGUGGAUUAAUUCGAAGCAACGCGAAGAACCUUACCAGGUCUUGACAUCGUAUGCAUAGCUCAGAGAUGAGUGAAAUCUCUUCGGAGACAUAUAGACAGGUGGUGCAUGGUUGUCGUCAGCUCGUGUCGUGAGAUGUUGGGUUAAGUCCCGCAACGAGCGCAACCCUUACUGUUAGUUGCUACGCAAGAGCACUCUAGCAGGACUGCCGUUGACAAAACGGAGGAAGGUGGGGAUGACGUCAAAUCAUCAUGCCCCUUAUGACCUGGGCCUCACACGUACUACAAUGGCUGUCAACAGAGGGAAGCAAAGCCGCGAGGUGG